AGAGGGUGCGAGCGUUAAUCGGAUUUACUGGGCGUAAAGCGUGCGUAGGCGGCUUAUUAAGUCGGAUGUGAAAUCCCCGAGCUUAACUUGGGAAUUGCAUUCGAUACUGGUGAGCUAGAGUAUGGGAGAGGAUGGUAGAAUUCCAGGUGUAGCGGUGAAAUGCGUAGAGAUCUGGAGGAAUACCGAUGGCGAAGGCAGCCAUCUGGCCUAAUACUGACGCUGAGGUACGAAAGCAUGGGGAGCAAACAGGAUUAGAUACCCUGGUAGUCCAUGCCGUAAACGAUGUCUACUAGCCGUUGGGGCCUUUGAGGCUUUAGUGGCGCAGCUAACGCGAUAAGUAGACCGCCUGGGGAGUACGGUCGCAAGACUAAAACUCAAAUGAAUUGACGGGGGCCCGCACAAGCGGUGGAGCAUGUGGUUUAAUUCGAUGCAACGCGAAGAACCUUACCUGGCCUUGACAUACUAGAAACUUUCCAGAGAUGGAUUGGUGCCUUCGGGAAUCUAGAUACAGGUGC
rnacentral:rRNA from 1 species